rnacentral:rRNA from 1 species
UAAUACGGAGGGGGUUAGCGUUGUUCGGAAUUACUGGGCGUAAAGCGCACGUAGGCGGAUCAGAAAGUUGGGGGUGAAAUCCCAGGGCUCAACCCUGGAACGGCCUCCAAAACUCCUGGUCUUGAGUUCGAGAGAGGUGAGUGGAAUUCCGAGUGUAGAGGUGAAAUUCGUAGAUAUUCGGAGGAACACCAGUGGCGAAGGCGGCUCACUGGCUCGAUACUGACGCUGAGGUGCGAAAGUGUGGGGAGCAAACAGG